UGGUAAAAUAAUUUAAACCCUGCCCCUAAACUUCUAGCCUUACUGCCUUUCCACCUGGUCUCCUGGACACACAAUAUAUCAACCUUUUUCUCCUAAUCAUCAUGUCAACCAUAUCAUGCCGAUAUGACACCCCUUACUUUCCUUUGUUUGCACGGUUUACUUUUCCCUUUUUAUCCGAUAUCUGAAUGAUGCCAUUGGACUCUUGGUUUGUAUUUAAAUAAAGAUUACAUUUGUUUUUUUGUUUUUUUUUUACAACAGAAAGCCUAUCUUUUUUAUUUAUUGGAAACUGUUUGCCGCGAUGUAAAUGUAAGUGUAAGAGUAGCAUUUGUGUAGUUCAGUGAAAUUGUGAUACUGGUAAAUAAGUAGCAGUGACACUUUGAUAAAUAUGAAGCAAUUGCAGUGCAAUGAGACCCGUGAAUGUAUGGCUGGCAAGCUUUUGCAGGCUACCUGCCAGGAUAUAAGAGCAGGUCUUGUUCACAGAACACCAGAGUGAGGAGGAGCUCUCAUCUGCAGGUUUGCGCUCACAUUCUUUUCAUCGUCUCUCUCACCCAGAUUGCUAUGAUUCAGUGAGCCUUUUGAAUCAUUUCAUUUUAAUAGUUUGUCGUCAGGUCCGUUGUCUUCGACAUCUGAAUUCCUCUCUAAAAUGCUGACUGGGGGUGUAGUUUUGUGUGCCAUUGCGGCACUGGCUACAGCUCAAGGUGAGUAUUAGUGUGCAUGUGGUUGGUGAAUCCAUCCGUAGCAAUGAAGCAUUGCGAACCACACUGACGCGUUUGCAGCAGAUUGUCCACCUGCCUGGACCGAAUACAACAAGCGGUGUUUCUACUACGAUGCGACAGUCAAGACCUGGGUUGAGGCUCAGGUCAUUGUCGCUUUUUAGACGCUCGCGUAGUUGUCGGCUUGCACGUCUGUGAAAGAGGCGCGUUUGUGUGCAGGCACAUUGCCAGUUGUUCGGAGGGAACCUUGCAUCUGUACACAGUGACGAUGAAAAUGCAUUCAUUCGGACGCUAACCCAGGGAACUACGUGGCUUGGAGGCUCAAAUUGCCAAACGACGGGAGCUUGGCUCUGGAUGGACGGUACACAGAUGCUGUUCAGAUUUUGGUGUCCACUAAAACCAGACAAUGACCUGACACAGUGCUGUCUACAGACGAACACUGGCGGUAAGUCAGUGUUGGCGCACAGCACAAAGCUUUCCUGGUGAAAUCUUGCUUCAUUCUUCUUCUUGCGGUAAACAAAUGCUGGGAUGAUGUGCCCUGUAGCGCUGCCCUUCCGUUUGUGUGUGCAAGGCCUCUUUAGGGAUUCCAGGUAUGUACAUCCAGCCCGACUCUUGUUCGAGGAAAUAACGUCUCAGUAACACACAAACAGGCCUUUGAUGGCGUUGAAAGAAAGGAAGGAUCGAGGCUGAAGCUCAACAUGCUGCGAUGAGACGUGUAGCAGGGAUUUUUUGUUUCCACUUGAUGUUGCUCAUGUUAAAUAUAAUUCCACGCACACUCCAGUUACAUUCGCAAGAAGAGUACAACGAUUGAUGGAAUGAAUUAUACGAGUUCAGGCGUAGUCAAGGGUUUUAUUGCUCGAUAAUCGUAUCGUGGGGGAAAGAUUGUAUCAGGUCGCAGGCGCAUCUGUGUUUGUUUGCAGGAGGAAAACGCAACGGAUGAGAGCAGUUGCGACCUGUGCUCGCACAGGAUGCGGUGACGUCACCGGAAGACACGCCCGUGGAGGCAAAGGAGACCAGAUCGGAGAGGAAAGCAAGACCAGGAUCCGAACCCGUUGCAGACUCCAGACUCUUACUUUUGCUAUACCUUAAUUAUACAUUUUGUAAUUGUUAGUUCAUAAAUCGAGGACCGUGAAUCCAAAAUCUGAGCAAGAUCUGGAGUCAUGUUGGACUACAUGGACACGCAUCGCCCCUUCAGAUUUAGAUUGUCAUCUCCGUUUUUAGCUUACACAGAAACGAGAUGGAACUGAUUCAUCAUUUCAUGUUAUGCACUUAACAGUAUGAUAUGAGUAAAAAAAUAAAAUGAAAAAUCUGAAGCUCUAA